GUGGCACACACUUGUAAUCCCAGCUACUCAGGAGGCUUAGGCAGGAGAAUUGCUUGAACCCAGGAGGCAGAGGUUGCAGUGAGCCGAGAUCAUGCCAUUGCACUCCAGCCUGAGCGAUAGAGCGAGACUCCAUCUCAAAAAACAAAAACAAAAACAUUAGGAAUAAAUAUUUACAAAGUGUAAGACAUGUAUACUGAAAACUACAAAGCAUUGUUGAAAGAAAUUAAAGGCCUAAAUACAUAGAAAGACAUCCCAUGUUCAUGGAUCAUAAGACUUAACACUUUUAAGAUGGCAAUACUCUCCAAAUAGAUAUACAGGUUCAAUGGAAUCCCCAACAAAAUCUUAGCUAUCUUUUUUUGCAGCAGAAACUGACAAAUUGAUCUUAAAAUUCAGAUGGAAAUAUAAGGGACUCCAAAUAGCCAAAACAGUCUUGACUAAGAAAAAAAAGGUUGGAGGAUUCACAUUUCCUCAUUUUGAAACUUACUAUAAAACUACAGUAAUCAGGCCGGGUGCGGUGGUUCACGCUUGUAAUCCCAGCACUUUGGGAGGCCGAGGCGGGCAGAUGACCUGAGGUCGUCAGGAGUUUGAGACCAGCCUAGCCAACACGGUGAAACCCUACUUCUACUAAAGAUAUAGAAAUUAGCCGAGCAUGGCAGUGCACGCCUGUAAUCCCAGCUACUUGGGAGGCUGAGGCAGGAGAAUCGCUUGAACUCAGCAGAUGGAGGUUGCAGUGAGCCAAAAUCGUGCCACUGCACUCCACCCUGGCAACAAGAGUGAAACUCCAUCUCAAAAAAAAAAAAAAAAGUGUGGCACUAAGGAUAGAGGAGGAUAAACUAUGAGAAAGCACCAGAAGGUACAGGUAGAAAAGUAGGCUGUGUCGAUGAGGUUAGACUUUCUCUGUGGGCAAUGAGAAGUCCUUGAAGAUUUUGCACAGAGACAUGCUACAUUCAGUUGAGGUUUUAGAGACUAAUUGAAGCAGCAGUGUGUAGCAGGAAGUGGAAAGUGAAGAUACCAAAAGGAUGGGGAAAACCCAUUGAAAAGCCACUAUGCUAAUCUAGGUAAGAGAUAAUGGGCGUCCUAAAUUAGAGCAGUGGCAAUGGAAAUAAGGAAGAAAAACCAAAGAUCAAUCUCUCUGUCUCUCUCCCUUUUUUCUUAAGACUGGUCAAGCGAAGCAGUGGAAUAGAAAAGGAACAGAGAAAUCUGUGGUUGUGAUCAAUUAGUUGUAAACACCACUGCACAAAAACCAGCCAAACCAAAGAUCUCUUGUGUGAGUCAUCCUUUUAACAAUCUUGUCAAAAGACAGCAGGUCCAGGCCGGGAGCGGUGGCUCAUGCCUGCAAUCCCAGCACUUUGGAAGGCCAAGGUGGGUGCAUCCUGUGAGGUCAGGAGUUCAAGACCAGCUUGGCCAACAUGGUGAAACACUGCCUCUACCAAAAAUACAAAAAAAUUAGCCGGGCGUGGUGGCACAUGCCUGUAGUCUCAGCUACUCGGGAGGCUAAGGCAGAAGAAUCACUUGAACCCGGGAGGCCUCAGGUUGCAGUGAGCAGAGAUCUCGCCACUGCACUCCAGCCUGGAUGACAAAGCAAGACUCCGUCUCCAAAAAACAAAAAAAGACAGCAGGUCCUGCAGCACUUGCCUUGCCUCCUGAGCGUGAGUGCCUUCUUAAAUUCUACAUGUAGGAACUCACUCACUUUACCCUAAUCCCAGCCUUGAAACGAAGGUACCAUAACUCCCAUUUUCUAAAAGAAAAUCAAACCCAAGCAAACUGAAUCACUGACUAAAAGUGUUAUUGGGCAUCUGUGAGAUGCUGAAGACUGAGCAACAAAUAGCAAAUAAGACAUUAUACCUGACAACAUGCAUACAGUUUCCUGGAGGACGUAGGCAAACAGGCAAUUACAACCUAAUGUUGUGACAGGGUAGAGAAAAGCACUGGAUCUGGAGUCAGACUGCCUGGAUGAGAAGCAUAGCUCCACCACUUCCAUGUGACCUUGGCCAAGGGGAUAAUAAUGAAAUAAUGAUCCCUACCUCACAGUACUGUGAAAGAUGAAAUUAGUUAUUAUAUAUGAAGCAUUUAGAACACUGGUGUGGCAUGUAGGUAUCUAAGUAUUUAUUAUUAUGAUGGUGAUGAUGAUGCAGUAUAGGUAAGCACAGAGAAAGUGUGUGUGUAUACAUAUCUACAUCUCUAGAGGAAGGGAAUCGCGUGGGAAGGCUUCCUGGAAGAAGCCUACUCUGAGCUGAAUGCUCAAAGUUAACCUGCUGAAGUCAAUAUCCUCAUAUGUCAAAUAAUGUCUAUCUUACAACAUCAUUGUGAGAAUUGAGAGACCAAAUAUACAGACAAUGACUAGUCCUUAUAUAAAACAGAACUCUGACCCACAACCUGCAGCAUCCUGUCCAGGAACCCAAACCAUUAUUUAGAAUAACCAGGCCAGGAGGCCAGCCGGCUAUAAGCCAGACUUGAAGGAAAUCAGACUGCUAUCUCUAGUGACAGUCCAGGAAGCAAAACAAUAACCCCUUUAACAAUCAGCCCAAAAUGGCUAGGACUUUUUUUUCUUUCUUUUUUUUUUUUUUUGAGAUGAAGUCUCACUCUGUUGUCUGGGCUGGAGUGCAGUGGCAUGAACUCAGCUCACUGCAACCUUUGCCUCCCAGGUUCAAGUGAUUCUCCUGCCUCAGCCUUCCCAGUAGGUGGGAUUACAGGCACGUGCCAUGAUGCCUGGCUAAUUUUUUGUAUUUUUAGUACAGACGGGGUUUCACCAUGUUAGCCAGCAUGGUCUUGAUUUCCUGACCUCGUGAUCUGCCCACCUCGGCCUCCCAAAGCACUGGGAUUACAGGCGUGAGUCACUGCGCCCAGCUGCAAAAUGGUUAGGAUUUGAUUACUAACUGACAGCUUCCGUAAUUUCUGUCCUUGAUUCCAACUUAGGACAACCAGAGAAAACCAAAUACACACCCCUAACCCAUACCAUAGAAUGUUGUGCUUCUAGUUAGCUCACCUACAGCUUCCCUGUGCCAACAGCCUCCAAUCAGGCCAUACCUGAAGCCAUUCCUUUUUUCCACUAUAGUUUUCCCACUCCUCUCUUUGACUCGAGUCCCUACUCAAAUGCAAGUGACAGUGGCUGACUCUCUUGCUAUAACAAGCCCUGAAAAACAUAGCCUUUGCUUGUUCUCAUUUGGUUGGUCUCCAUUUACAUCCUCAGAAUUUAAUUUGAUAAAGUACAUAAAAUAUCUAGUACAAGGCAUAACUUUUUCUAAGGACCUUUUGAAUCUUUAAAGGAAAUAUUAACACAAAGACUGAGCUGUUUUCAACUAAAACUUACACUUUUAUCUGAAUCAAAAGGCCUGCCUGACAACCUGGUUUUAAACGCAGUCCUCAAUGGUUUCAAAAGUGGCAGGUCAGACCUGAAAGCCAGCCUCCCUCCCAAACGGUUUUGGGCUUCACUGUAUUAGUAGAAACAGUAGAAGUGGUUUGCUACUUACCGUUCUAUAUUUUGAAAACAGACCAAAUUGAGGGAUCAGAGAGGCUGUAAGAAGAAAGCAUAGACAUUUUACAGUAUAGGAUCAAGGUAAGGUAUUGUUCAUGAAGUUUUUUUUUUUUUUAAAUGAAGUCUUGCUAUGUUGCCCAGGCUGGUCUUGACCUCCCGGGCUUAAGCGAUCUUCCUGCCUAGGCCUCCCAAAGUGCUGGAAUUUGAGGCAUUAGCCACCACAUCCAGCUUCAUAAGGAUGUUUUAAAAUCCAGUUUGGGAUUUAUCCAGGCCACAUCUUCUAUUUUCCCCUCUAAUGCCUACCUUCUUUAAACUGUCCCCAUCCCACUUCCCCCAGAAAGGAUAUUCAGUUUUUUAUGGCACCUCUCCCCAAAAGCACAUAGAAAUAACAUUUGGUUCUGUUCCCAUUAGGGUUGGUUGAGAAAGGACUUUGAAGCUAUGGAAUAAAAGUCGCGCUAGCGCACUGCAGCUUCAAUUCCUGGUCUCAAGCGAGCCUCCCGCCUCAACCUCCGGAGUAACUGGGACUACCGGCCCAAGCCACUACACCUGGCCAAGGAAGUAACCCUUAAUUAAUAGUUCAUGAUGUUAUUUUCCUUUACAACUCGGGGUAACAAAUACAAAAUUUAAUAUAAGAUGUGAGCAUUUUAACUCCAUUUUAAGAGAGGUGUCCAGUGUGGUUGGACUAAAGCCCCUUUCUCGUAAGCAUCCACAAUUCCUCAUUCCUGCACAUCUCCUCCCUUGGGACCAUACAUAAAAACUCAACUCCUCAUCUUGGGCACCUGAAAAUCUACUUUAACAGAGAAAGCGCUCUAGAUGGCAGGUGUCCUUAGAGCUGGGAGCGAAGCCCAAGCAAGAACUAAAGAGGGUGGCUGACUCCACAAAGCCACCCCCACAACCCCCAGUUCGCGUUCCUCCACCUGGCAGGUCCUCUGGGGAACCGCCAGUAACG
rnacentral:lncRNA from 10 species